rnacentral:tRNA from 1 species
GAGAGGUUAGUCCAAAUUAAGACCACUGAUUUCGACUCAGUAAAUUAUGAUUAAAACCAUAACCCCUUU